rnacentral:rRNA from 1 species
GUGGGGAAUCUUGCGCAAUGGGCGAAAGCCUGACGCAGCCAUGCCGCGUGAAUGAUGAAGGUCUUAGGAUUGUAAAAUUCUUUCACCGGGGACGAUAAUGACGGUACCCGGAGAAGAAGCCCCGGCUAACUUCGUGCCAGCAGCCGCGGUAAUACGAAGGGGGCUAGCGUUGCUCGGAAUUACUGGGCGUAAAGGGCGCGUAGGCGGACAGUUUAGUCAGAGGUGAAAGCCCAGGGCUCAACCUUGGAAUUGCCUUGGAUACUGGCUGUCUUGAGUACGGGAGAGGUGAGUGGAACUCCGAGUGUAGAGGUGAAAUUCGUAGAUAUUCGGAAGAACACCAGUGGCGAAGGCGACUCACUGGCCCGUUACUGACGCUGAGGCGCGAAAGCGUGGGGAGCAAACAGGAUUAGAUACCCCUGUAGUCC